rfam:Ornithorhynchus anatinus chromosome X5, whole genome shotgun sequence.
AGCAGCGUGGCUCAGUGGCAAGAGCCCGGGCUUGGGAGUCAGAGGUCAUGGGUUCGAAUCCCAGCUCUGCCA